AGUGCUGCUGUUAUAGAUAUGAGCUACCACACAAGCCCCUGCCCCCGGAUACUUUAGAAUAGACCUAAUGAGUAAAGUAUAAGAUAAUUGUGGAAGAAAGGAAUCAAAAUUAAUAGAAUGCUAUAUAUUCAUGAAGAAAACAGAUGUAGAUACAAAUAAUAACAUAAAUGAAUCUUGAAAACAAUGUUGAGCAAAGCAGGAUACCAAAGAAUAUAUAUUUUAUGAUUCCAUUAACAACCCCAAAGUUAGAUAAACAGUAUAUAAAAGAAAUGUAAAUAUCUAAUAUACACCAUUUUGCAUUUCAUCCAUGUAACCAAAAACCACUUGAACCCCUAAAGCUAUUGAAAUUUUAAAAAUUAAAGUCAUUUUUCCAUCUAGUAACACCUUAAUAUUACAUGUAUGUAAAAAUCAGUUAAAAUUAUUCUCUAUAUACUUGAACUGUAUAUGUAUCUAAAUACAUAAAAUAAUGUCUAAAAGGCACUAAUGAAAGUAUUAACAGUCAUUACCUUUGGAGGUGGGAGCAAAAUAGACCAUAAAUUUUUUAUCUUGUUUGAAUUUUAUAUACUGAAUAUAUAUAGUGUAAUU